CUUUUUUGGUACAUUCCAGAAACCCAGGACCCCCUCCAUGAUGCAGGCUAUGGGGCCACAUAAAACUUUGUCCAGGGUUACAUAACAUAGCACGACAACUGUAAACUACUACUACAGUACUAAAGAACCCCCUGAAUGAUGUAGGCUAUGGGGCCACAUAAGACUUUGUCCAUCCAGGGUUACAUAGCACGACAACUUUAAACUAAAAAACCCCCUGAAUGAUGUAGGCUGUGGUGCCACACAAGACUUUGUGCAUUCAGGGUUACAUAGCACGACAACUUUAAACUAAAAGUAAGGAAUUAAUUCACAUACAUUAACUUUUUUACUCUUGAUAUAACUCAAAGUAAGGAAUUAUGAACUAAAAGUAAGGAAUUAAUUAACAUACAUUAACUCUUUUGCUCUUGAUAUCUACUAUUUACA